UGGUGAAAGUCCUGCCAGUAGAGGACUGCUCCCUUUGGAGUGGAGUACGGACCCUUUACCCACAGGACAGGAUACUGCUAGUUCGCAGAGGUUUGAGAAUGAACCAGCUCAGAAGAAGACACAGAAUUCAGGCAAAGAGCAACUCCAAAUUGCAUGGACAGUAAAUUAGCCCCUCCAGCGCACUCUGGAUGCACACAGAUUCGCUCUGCCAGUGCUCAAGUUACAUACUCCUGUGCAGCAGGUGCCUGGGAGAGAGACUUCCAGGCACUUGGAAAAGCAGCCAGCUGCUAUUAAACACCCGGCUGCUGGAUCAAGGGAUAUUUAGGUGGGCAUUCUUGCUUGUGUGGGUAUGCUGAUGUCUAAUAAGCAGCUAGUUAUGUACAACUGCCUUCCUACCUGUAAGGCACUAGCGGACUCUAACUGACUAUUGACAUAAGUGUGACAUAAGUGUGAUCCUACAAGGAAGCACAUGCUAAAAAUUAUCCUCUUGCCAUCUGAAGAGGGGUGUAACCAUUCACCGUAGAACUCACUGUGUCUUCUUACGUAGGAGGCAGUGAUUCUUUUUAGUUAGACCACUCCCUAAUUAGAAUAAAAGUAAUUUUCAUAGGUUUGUAAAAUGCCUCAUUGUAACUCUAUGAAUAAUCUCCUGCAUCUGAUUGCCUAGCAGACAAUUCUUAGCUUCAAUGAAAUGUGAGAGUCUCUUCUAUGGUGAUUGAAGUGAUGCAGGGACUACUGCCGCAAGUCUUUUUGUUUGUGAGAGGCUUGGCUCUGAGUCCCUCUGACUAGUUACAGAAUGGAUUUGUGUCCCAGCUUAUUCCUUCCCUGGCAAAGCUGGGAGAAGGGAACACAGAACUGAAGUCUUAAAACUUAACUGCUGCCCAGUAAAACGAUGUGGGUUUUGCUCUUCAAUAGAUUGCAUGCAAGUUGUAACCAGCUUAUUUCUUAAAAAGUAGACUCAGAGAUGUGUAUUCGCUGACUCUUUCUUCCAUUGGCAAUGUUGAAUGUGCUUUAUCUUACCGCGCUGUAAGUACCAUUAAAAAUCA